rnacentral:rRNA from 1 species
ACGGGAGGCAGCAGUGGGGAAUAUUGGACAAUGGGCGAAAGCCUGAUCCAGCGACGCCGCGUGAGUGAAGAAGUAUUUCGGUAUGUAAAGCUCUAUCAGCAGGGAAGAUAAUGACGGUACCUGACUAAGAAGCCCCGGCUAACUACGUGCCAGCAGCCGCGGUAAUACGUAGGGGGCAAGCGUUAUCCGGAUUUACUGGGUGUAAAGGGAGCGUAGACGGUAUGGCAAGUCUGAUGUGAAAACCCAGGGCUCAACCCUGGGACUGCAUUGGAAACUGUCAAACUAGAGUGCAGGAGAGGUAAGUGGAAUUCCUAGUGUAGCGGUGAAAUGCGUAGAUAUUAGGAAGAACACCGGUGGCGAAGGCGGCUUGCUGGGCUGAGACUGACGCUGAGGCUCGAAAGCGUGGGGAGCAAACAGGAUUAGAUACCCUGGUA